rnacentral:rRNA from 1 species
CAGCAGUAGCCGCGGUAAGACAAAGGAUGCAAGCGUUGUCCGGAUUUAUUGGGCGUAAAGCGAGCGCAGGCGGUUAGAUAAGUCUGAAGUUAAAGGCUGUGGCUUAACCAUAGUACGCUUUGGAAACUGUUUAACUUGAGUGCAGAAGGGGAGAGUGGAAUUCCAUGUGCAGCGGUGAAAUGCGUAGAUAUAUGGAGGAACACCGGUGGCGAAAGCGGCUCUCUGGUCUGUAACUGACGCUGAGGCUCGAAAGCGUGGGGAGCGAACAGGAUUAGAUACCCCGGUAGUCCCUGUCUCUUAUACA